rnacentral:rRNA from 1 species
AUUGAACGCUGGCGGAAUGCUUUACACAUGCAAGUCGAGCGGCAGCACGGGGGUAACCCUGGUGGCGAGCGGCGAACGGGUGAGUAAUACAUCGGAACAUGCCCAGUCGUGGGGGAUAACACUUCGAAAGAAGUGCUAAUACCGCAUACGUCCUGAGGGAGAAAGCGGGGGAUCGCAAGACCUCGCGCGAUUGGAGUGGCCGAUGUCAGAUUAGCUAGUUGGUGGGGUAAAGGCCUACCAAGGCAACGAUCUGUAGCUGGUCUGAGAGGAUGAUCAGCCACACUGGGACUGAGACACGGCCCAGACUCCUACGGGAGGCAGCAGUGGGGAAUUUCGGACAAUGGGGGCAACCCUGAUCCAGCCAUUCCGCGUGAGUGAAGAAGGCCUUCGGGUUGUAAAGCUCUUUCGGCAGGAACGAAACGGUGAGCUCUAACAUAGCUUGCUAAUGACGGUACCUGAAGAAGAAGCACCGGCUAACUACGUG